rnacentral:rRNA from 1 species
ACGGGAGGCAGCAGUGGGGAAUAUUGGGCAAUGGGCGAAAGCCUGACCCAGCAACGCCGCGUGAAGGAAGAAGGUCUUCGGAUUGUAAACUUCUUUUAUGUAGGACGAAGAAAGUGACGGUACUACAUGAAUAAGCCACGGCUAACUACGUGCCAGCAGCCGCGGUAAUACGUAGGUGGCAAGCGUUAUCCGGAUUUACUGGGUGUAAAGGGCGCGUAGGCGGGGAUGCAAGUCAGAUGUGAAAUCCAUGGGCUCAACCCAUGAACUGCAUUUGAAACUGUAUCUCUUGAGUGCUGGAGAGGUAGAUGGAAUUCCUAGUGUAGCGGUGAAAUGCGUAGAUAUUAGGAGGAACAUCAGUGGCGAAGGCGGCUUACUGGGCUUUAACUGACGCUGAGGCUCGAAAGCGUGGGGAGCAAACAGGAUUAGAUACCCUGGUA